UACGUAGGUGACAAGCGUUGUCCGGAUUUACUGGGCGUAAAGAGCGCGCAGGCGGUCGUUCAAGUCGAGUGUGAAAGCCCCCGGCUCAACUGGGGAGGGUCACUCGAUACUGAUCGACUCGAAGGCAGGAGAGGGAAGUGGAAUUCCCGGUGUAGUGGUGAAAUGCGUAGAUAUCGGGAGGAACACCAGUGGCGAAGGCGACUUCCUGGCCUGUUCUUGACACUGAGGCGCGAAAGCUAGGGGAGCAAACGGG
rnacentral:rRNA from 1 species